rnacentral:rRNA from 1 species
UACGGGGGGAGCAAGCGUUGUUCGGAUUUACUGGGCGUAAAGGGCGCGUAGGCGGCCUGCUAAGUCGGACGUGAAAUCCCCCGGCUCAACCGGGGAACUGCGUCCGAUACUGGUGGGCUCGAAUCCGGGAGAGGGAUGUGGAAUUCCAGGUGUAGCGGUGAAAUGCGUAGAUAUCUGGAGGAACACCGGUGGCGAAGGCGGCAUCCUGGACCGGUAUUGACGCUGAGGCGCGAAAGCCAGGGGAGCAAACGGG